rnacentral:rRNA from 1 species
AACGAACGCUGGCGGCAUGCCUAACACAUGCAAGUCGAACGAGACCUUCGGGUCUAGUGGCGCACGGGUGCGUAACGCGUGGGAACCUGCCCUUAGGUUCGGAAUAACUCCCCGACAGGGGUGCUAAUACCGGAUAAUGUCUUCGGACCAAAGAUUUAUCGCCUUUGGUUGGGCCCGCGUUGGAUUAGCUAGUUGGUAGGGUAAAAGCCUACCAAGGCGACGAUCCAUAGCUGGUCUGAGAGGAUGAUCAGCCACACUGGGACUGAGACACGGCCCAGACUCCUACGGGAAGCAGCAGUGGGGAAUAUUGGACAAUGGGCGAAAGCCUGAUCCAGCAAUGCCGCGUGAGUGAUGAAGGCCUUAGGGUUGUAAAGCUCUUUUACCCGGGAUGAUAAUGACAGUACCGGGAGAAUAAGCUCCGGCUAACUCCGUG